UACGUAGGGGGCAAGCGUUGUCCGGAAUCAUUGGGCGUAAAGCGCGUGUAGGCGGCCCGAUAAGUCCGCUGUGAAAGUCCAGAGCUCAACCCUGGGAUGCCGGUGGAUACUGUCGGGCUCGAGUCCGGAAGAGGCGAGUGGAAUUCCUGGUGUAGCGGUGAAAUGCGCAGAUAUCAGGAGGAACACCAAUGGCGAAGGCAGCUCGCUGGGACGUGACUGACGCUGAGACGCGAAAGCGUGGGGAGCAAACAGG
rnacentral:rRNA from 1 species